GCAGAAAAUUCAAAAGACCAGCAUUCACCACUGACAACUACUAUCCCCAGUUUGAUAGACCAUGCCUGAAGGCUGAAGCAUAUCGCUUUUAGGACUAUGUCAGCCCCUUCUAAGCGAGCUUCUACUUUUAUCUCCAUCCUCCCCAAUGGUUUUUGUCUUUGCUUUUGGCUAAUAAUGUUUGGUCUCUUCACUCUGCAAAAAGCUUUUUGGAUAUCUGUGGAUCAUCAAGAAGUUGAUAUAUGGCAUCUCUAAGCUUGCAAUAAUCCUCAAACGUAUUAUAGACCUGAUGAGAAAUCCUUGCAUAGGCCAUUAUGAACCCAUCCUUAUCCUUCACAGCCGCCUCACCAUUUUUUCUAGGUGCCUGAUAAUGAAUUGGAACCUCAACCCCAUAAUUCGAACGCAAAUGCGACCUUAACCUCAAAGCAUCAUCUUGACUCAUUACACGCAAUCUUGAAGGCAAGCUUACCAUAAUCAUGCCUGCACACAUCUCCGGCGGGGCCCCUAGAUUUGUUCCCCAUGACUCUGCUAACAUUUUCCCCACCUCAACAAUCUUCUCAUGGUUCCUAUUCAUUAUUCCAUCAAGUCCUCCUUCAAAUCGAUUAACAAACUCCAAAGCAGAUGGUACUACUAGUUGAGAACUGUAAUCCCUUGUCCCAAUCCACGCACUCUCAAUUGGCAAUCCAUUCCCAUAUUCAUGUGAAACCACGGGGUGAUGCACAUCAGAGGAGGAGCUGGUUUUUUUACAAUACAAAAAUGCAACUGAUGGCGGGCAGAAAAACCAUUUGUGCAAAUUGCUAGCGUAGAAAUCAGCCCCAAUUUCUUUAACAUCUACUUUAACACUACCCAGAGCGUGAGCUGCAUCAACAAAAACCUGGUCCACGCCUUCUUCUCUACAAAUUUUAACCAAUUCCCGGACUGGAGUGACGACACACGGCAUUGAUGUGAUGUGAUCGAUUAUUGCUAACCUAACUUUUCUACCACUAGACUUACCUUUCUCUAGCCCUUUCCUAAACUCAGCGAUAAUUUCUUCAUCGGAGUUAACAGGAAAUGGAAGCUGAACUUCUAUUACUGAUCCACCGGUACGCGUGACAUACGCUUGCAUAGAUUUUUUUACGGCUUCAUAGGCGCAGUGAAGCAUCAAGACGGCGUCGUUCUUAUGGAAUUUACCAUCGGCGAAGGAACGGCCUAUCUGCUGGNUAUCUGCUGGAGGACGAUGGCAGCGGCGGUGGUGGCAUUGUCGACGAGGGAGACCUCGUCCACAUCAUCGGCAUUAAUGAGGUCUUUAACUAGUGUCCGCGAAUCAAGAAUCCCCUUGCGGAGCGUAUUGAAGUAGAAAUCGUCCGGUUGCUGAAGGAAUUUGAGUUGCCACUUCCUCUGGGCGGCAAGCACCGAUCCGGGGCAGCUCCCGAAGCUCCCGUUGUUGAUUCGGGCUAUGCCAGACUGAUGGUGUGCGAACUCUUCUCGGAUUUCGGAUUCGGUUAUGAAACGAGUGAGCCGGGGCUUCUUGGUGAGUUGGUGGUGGUGAGCCGACUCACCGUUUGAAGGAUCUUUGUUUUCCAUUGGGGUGAGUUAGGGUUUGGGAAGAAGAUUGGGCAUGAUCUGAAAGACUGCUCAAAACUUGGAACUGUGGCUCACUGUGUGCUUAGCAUCAGAGGA
rnacentral:misc_RNA from 1 species